rnacentral:tRNA from 1 species
GGGGAUUUAGCUCACUGGUAGAGCGCUUGCCUAGCAAGUGCAAGGUCCUGGGUUCGGUCCCCAGCUCCG